rnacentral:lncRNA from 1 species
AAAAUGAAAAAAAAAAAACAAUUAGAAAAAUAAAAAAAUUAUAUAAAAUUAAAGACCCAAAAAAAUAAUAAUAAAUUUACAGACUAAAACAAUAUUUUAUUCUACAUUUUCAAAAAAAGUUGAAAUGUCAAUUUUAAAAGAAACCUGAGUUACCUGUACAGGUAAAUAUUAAUGAAACAUACCAGCUGAAAACUUCAACCCUGAUUGAUUUUAACAGGUAACAUAAUUAGAUAAAAAAUCUACCUAUGUUUUAUGACCCCAAUAAAUGGCCAACAUCUCAAGAUUGAAUACCCCAAUACAUGUUCACCAUUGGAUGUUGACCAUGCAAGAGGGUGGAC